rnacentral:ribozyme from 12 species
AUACAUAUCGACAGAUGCGUAGUGAUAGAAUAAACAAUAAGGGAAAACAACAGCACAAACGAAAAAAAUGCAGAAUUGUAGCUGGGAUUUUGACUAACAACUAUGAUGCCCCUUCUCUUUGUCUCCUCUUCCUUCUUUUUUUGUCCCCCCUUCCCCUUCUU